GUCGUAUUCGUCUAGUGGCUUAGGACACAAGGUUUUCAUCCUUGUAGACGCGGGUUCGAAUCCCGCAUACGACUCCA
rnacentral:tRNA from 1 species